UACGGAGGGUGCGAGCGUUGUCCGGAAUCACUGGGCGUAAAGGGCGCGUAGGCGGUCUGCUAAGCGUGCGGUGAAAGCCUGGGGCUCAACCCCAGGUCUGCCGUGCGAACUGGUGGACUAGAGCACUGCAGAGGCAGGUGGAAUUCCGGGUGUAGCAGUGGAAUGCGUAGAGAUCCGGAAGAACACCGGUGGCGAAGGCGGCCUGCUGGGCAGUUGCUGACGCUGAGGCGCGACAGCGUGGGGAGCAAACAGG
rnacentral:rRNA from 1 species